rnacentral:rRNA from 1 species
GACAGGGGGCUCGAGCGUUAAUCGGAAUCACUGGGCUUAAAGGGUGCGUAGGCGGGUCGGUAAGCAUUUCGUGAAAUCCCUUGGCUCAACCAAGGAACCGCGAGAUGGACUGCCGACCUUGAGGAAGCUAGAGGCGGGUAGAACGAUAGGUGGAGCGGUGGAAUGCGUAGAGAUCAUGAGGAAGACCAGUGGCGAAGGCGGGUCUCUGGACAGUUCCUGACACUGAGACACGAAGGCCAGGGGAGCAAACGGG